GCUCAGGAUGAACGCUGGCGGCGUGCCUAAUACAUGCAAGUCGAGCGAAUGGAUUAAGAGCUUGCUCUUAUGAAGUUAGCGGCGGACGGGUGAGUAACACGUGGGUAACCUGCCCAUAAGACUGGGAUAACUCCGGGAAACCGGGGCUAAUACCGGAUAACAUUUUGAACCGCAUGGUUCGAAAUUGAAAGGCGGCUUCGGCUGUCACUUAUGGAUGGACCCGCGUCGCAUUAGCUAGUUGGUGAGGUAACGGCUCACCAAGGCAACGAUGCGUAGCCGACCUGAGAGGGUGAUCGGCCACACUGGGACUGAGACACGGCCCAGACUCCUACGGGAGGCAGCAGUAGGGAAUCUUCCGCAAUGGACGAAAGUCUGACGGAGCAACGCCGCGUGAGUGAUGAAGGCUUUCGGGUCGUAAAACUCUGUUGUUAGGGAAGAACAAGUGCUAGUUGAAUAAGCUGGCACCUUGACGGUACCUAACCAGAAAGCCACGGCUAACUACGUGCCAGCAGCCGCGGUAAUACGUAGGUGGCAAGCGUUAUCCGGAAUUAUUGGGCGUAAAGCGCGCGCAGGUGGUUUCUUAAGUCUGAUGUGAAAGCCCACGGCUCAACCGUGGAGGGUCAUUGGAAACUGGGAGACUUGAGUGCAGAAGAGGAAAGUGGAAUUCCAUGUGUAGCGGUGAAAUGCGUAGAGAUAUGGAGGAACACCAGUGGCGAAGGCGACUUUCUGGUCUGUAACUGACA
rnacentral:rRNA from 1 species